GCGAAAAUAACUUAACGGUAGAGUUUAAUCUUGCCAAGAUUAGAGUAAGGGUUCAAAUCCCUUUUUUCGCU
rnacentral:tRNA from 1 species